AGGGAUAAUAACAACUUCUCCACUCGCCUCCAGGAAUGGGUGUUGUAAAAGUCAAGUCAGCAUGUAUGAGAACACCAAUCUAUAAGAGUGUUCAACAAAGGAGGGCAUUGUUAUUUUACUAUCAUUAUUUUUACUACUUUAUAUUAUUUUGGAAAGAGCCAAGUCACCGAGGUGUCUUCUAUUAAAUCAAUUAGCCUGGAAGGAGAACUAAGCAAGAUGAGAAACUGAACGUAUCUGUGACUCUGCAAGUAGUCUGACACACUCUCCCUGAUACUGUGGUGGGAUCCAGGCCCGGACGCUGUGGAUAAGGGCUGCUGUGGCCAAAAUAAUUAUUGAUAACAGAAUUUUUGAAUCAAGAGAACUACUCUAUCCAAUGAGCUAAGGCGAGAAAACCUGGCAGCAAGUACAAUGUCCUACUGUGAUUAUUUCAGGAAACCAGCAACACGGGGACAGAUAAAAGUAAGAAGCAGGUUACCUUCGCUCUCUGGUUUUGGAACCACACCUGGACGACACGGACACUCAGCCCUGUCUCUGCAGCCAGAGUCUCUCUCACCUUGGAAAAAUUGAACGAGAAAUGUAGACACACUGGCAUCUCAGAGUAGGAGGUAGAACAUCUCCUAUAUAAUACAUGAGGAGGCCAAAAGACUGUAUCUGCUUUAGGAGCUGAAUAGUUUUUAAUGUUGAGCAUACACACAAACACGAGAACAUUGCUUCCCUUCAGGUAGAAAGAAAGUCCUUCACCAGGUAACUUUGGGUGUUUCAUGAAUAUCCAUAGUGACUGCUACCCCAAGUGAGCCCUGCCCAAAGAGAAUAAGAUGAGAGCCAUCUGGAACCCGGCAGAGCCAGGAAGUGUGGCCACAGGACUACAUUUUGGCCAACACAUAUGAGGAGAAAUGAUUUGAGCAACCCCUGGAUACAUCCUUAAAAAGCAGGGCGCUUGCCCUCCAUUUCCUCUUUCUCUACCUGGUGACUGGAAACAUGGUGACAACUGGAGCAGUCGCUUGGACACAGGAGAUGGAUAACAGAGCCACCCACCAGCCUUGCCUUGCUCACCUCUGGACUGUGAAGGAAGAGAAUAAACUCCUGUCUCAUU